rfam:Oryza meridionalis cultivar OR44 (W2112) chromosome 1, whole genome shotgun sequence.
UUUAAGUGCAACCAUAAAUUUUCGCGUCCAACUUUAAUCAUCCGUCUUAUUUAAAAUUUUUUUAUAAUUAGUAUUUUUGUUGUUAUAAGAUGAUAAAACAUGAAUUGUACUUUACUCGUGACUUAUGUUUUAAUUUUUUUUAAAUAAGAUGGACAGUCAAAUUUGAGCGUGAAAAACCAUGGCUACACUUAAA